UUUAUUUUCUAACAUAACAUUCAGUAAACAUCAAAAUGACAUGCACUGGAUAAAACUCGUAUAUCACAUCUCAUUUUAUACAAUUCGUGGAUUUUUUUGGAAAUAUUUUUAGUUCAAUGUUUCAUCAAAGGAAUGAUCCCAAACACUUUAAACAACAGCACAUUCAUUCCUGUCAAAAAUGAAAGAUGGAGCUGCUGUGAAUAAGACCUGGGGAACCGGAGGACCUUUCCAAAAUGCAAGGGACACAUUCAUUCAUUCAUUCAUUCAUUCAUUCAUUCAUGGGAAAUUCAGAAAAAUGCAAUGACUGUUUGUGUUGAGACCAGAAAAUCCCAAACUCAACAGCCGAUCUUUAUUAUCAUUAUCACAGCUGUCUUGACUCUUCAUUGGACUGGACUGGAUUUAAAUGCAAAUGAAUGGUGUAUUAGAACGACCCUUUCUGAAUUAAACAGGCACACGGACAGGUCAUGUGACAGCAGGGGUAACAGGCACACGGUCAGGUCAUGUGACAGCAGGGGUAACAGGCACACGGUCAGGUCAUGUGACAGCAGGGGUAACAGGCACACGGUCAGGUCAUGUGACAGCAGGGGUAACAGGCACACGGUCAGGUCAUGUGACAGCAGGGGUAACAGGCACACGGUCAGGUCAUGUGACAGCAGGGGUAACAGGCACACGGACAGGUCAUGUGACAGCAGGGGUAACAGGCACACGGACAGGUCAUGUGACAGCAGGGGUAACAGGCACACGGUCAGGUCAUGUGACAGCAGGGGUAACAGGCACACGGUCAGGUCAUGUGACAGCAGGGGUAACAGGCACACGGACAGGUCAUGUGACAGCAGGGGUAUUCUUUUCUUUGGGUCGGAAGUUUUCACAUUGCAUCAGGAAAAGUUGAUCAGAAUGUUUAUUGUUCAGAAAACAACACUGCUGUACGAAAAUACAAUCUGGCAUAAAAAUGUGUUUAAAAUAAAUGAAGCUAUUUUGUUAACUGUUUUAUCAGAUAAUGUUUUGACAGAAAAUAUGUAUAUUGGGGCUUAAGGAACACAUUAAGGAAAAUUAGCUUUUUUCUGUUCAAAAAGUCUAUCAAGAUUCAAGAAAUAGAUUUAGUUUUAUUGAAUAUUGAUGGAGCAACAUCAUUUGUGUGAAUAGAAAGGUUAGGUAUUUUUAAAAAGGUGGCGAGGGGGCAACACUUGGGGUAACAGUCCAUGUAGAUAACGGGGCAAUAGUUAUAGAGCACAAUCUGUCAACUAAUGCAAAUACUUGAGACAGCAACAUGCUUUUUGCAGUAACACAUGAAGAUGAUUCAAAAUAAAGUCUCAAGUAUUCUAUAAACAAAUGAAUCUUGAUUGGGUCAGUCAAAAUUCUUCAUAUCUAUUUGGUUUUCAUGGAGGCUUUACCUUCAGCUAUUGGACAGUUAUUGAAUCUCUUGUGCUUUAGCCCUGUUGUACUCACUUCCCAAAAUGAAUGAUUCAAAAUGAAACAGGAUUAAACACUUACAUCAACAUGCAGAUAUUCAAUAGCACCUCUGAGCAAACUCGCCUCGUCUGAUGUGAUAUGAUGAAAUAAAUCAGUUUUAUAUCCAGUAGUAUUACAGUAGUACUGAAUGAGUAUGCAGUGAGUAGUACAGAAGUAUUCAAACACGUCCAAACUCGUUCUGUUCCUCGUAUUUUAACAACACAAAUAAAAACUAUAAUGUUCAUUUUCCACUGAGGACAAAGUUAAUUUCUCUGUUUACAAUUGUCAUUACACACACACACACACACACACACACACACACACAAACACACACU